CGGGGCGUAGCGCAGCCUGGUAGCACACUUGCAUGGGGUGCAAGGGGUCGCGAGUUCGAAUCCCGCCGCCCCGACCA
rnacentral:tRNA from 1 species